CGAAAGACAGCUUUAAGAAUGCCGUGGGUUGUUUUAUUGACCUACUUAGAGGAUGUGUACCGGGUAACGACAAGAAACUGGUAGCUACUUCAAGUAAUUAUACAGAAGCAUAUGAUCUACUCUGUAGUGACGGUCCUAGUCAAGCUGUUAAUAGACAAUUGGAUACCAGUUCUUGUGCAAACUUUGAGUCCAAAAUAGAUAAAUGUUAUACAGAUAAUGGUCUGGCAGUAAGGGCAGAUGUACGAACAUUGUCAGAAAUACAAGGAUUGUUCUGGCAAACCACAACCAUAAUAUGCGGUUCAUCGAAAGACAGCUUUAAGAAUGCCGUGGGUUGUUUUAUUGACCUACUUAGAGGAUGUGUACCGGGUAACGACAAGAAACUGGUAGCUACUUCAAGUAAUUAUACAGAAGCAUAUGAUCUACUCUGUAGUGAC